AUGAACGCUAGCGGCAGGCCUAAUACAUGCAAGUCGAGGGGCAGCACGGGUAGCUAUACUUGGUGGCGACCGGCGCACGGGUGCGUAACACGUAUGUAAUCUGCCCCUUAACUGGGGGAUAGCCCGGGAGAAAUCCGGAUUAAUACCCCAUAACAGUAGAAGAAACAGCAUUGUUUUUAUUUGAAAGUUCCGACGGUUAAGGAUGAACAUGCGACUGAUUAGUUAGUUGGUGGGUGAGGUAACGGCUCACCAAGACCACGAUCAGUAGGGGUACUGAGAGGUUAUACCCCCACACUGGUACUGAGACACGGACCAGACUCCUACGGGAGGCAGCAGUAAGGAAUAUUGGACAAUGGCCGCAAGGCUGAUCCAGCCAUGCCGCGUGGCAGGAAGACGGACCUAUGGUUUGUAAACUGCUUUUGAACGGGAGAAAACCCCCCCUUCGUGAAGGGGGCUGAUAGUACCGUUAGAAUAAGCAUCGGCUAACUUCGUGCCAGCAGCCGCGGUAAGACGAAGGAUGCAAGCGUUAUCCGGAUUCAUUGGGUUUAAAGGGAGCGUAGGCGGAUUUGUAAGUCAGCGGUGAAAUCUUUGGGCUUAACCCAGAAUACUGCCAUUGAUACUGCAGAUCUUGAGUACAGUUGCCGUUGGCGGAAUAUGACAUGUAGUGGUGAAAUACUUAGAUAUGUCAUAGAACACCGAUUGCGAAGGCAGCUAACGAAGCUGUAACUGACGCUGAGGCUCGAAAGUGCGGGGGAUCAAACAGGAUUAGAUACCCUGGUAGUCCGCACUGUAAACGAUGAUCACUCGUUGCUGAGGGGUAACCUUCAGUGACCAAGCGAAAGCGAAUAAGUGAUCCACCUGGGGAGUACGCCGGCAACGGUGAAACUCAAAGGAAUUGACGGGGGCCCGCACAAGCGGAGGAGCAUGUGGUUUAAUUCGAUGAUACGCGAGGAACCUUACCAGGGCUUGAAAGUUAGGGAAUGAUUCUGAAAGGAGUCAGCCAGCAAUGGCCCGAAACUAGGUGCUGCAUGGCUGUCGUCAGCUCGUGCCGUGAGGUGUUGGGUUAAGUCCCGCAACGAGCGCAACCCCUACCAUUAGUUGCCAACAGGUAAAGCUGGGGACUCUAAUGGAACUGCCCGCGCAAGCGGAGAGGAAGGUGGGGAUGACGUCAAGUCAUCACGGCCCUUACGUCCUGGGCUACACACGUGCUACAAUGGUCGGUACAAACCGUCGCAAACCCGCGAGGGGGAGCUAAUCGGAAAAAGCCGACCUCAGUUCGGAUUGGAGUCUGCAACCCGACUCCAUGAAGCUGGAAUCGCUAGUAAUCGCUGAUCAGCAGGCAGCGGUGAAUACGUUCCCGGGCCUUGUACACACCGCCCGUCACAUCACUGGAAGCCGCUGUACUCAGAAGUCGGCUACGCCAACCCGCAAGGGAGGCAGGCCCCUAAGGUAGGGUCG
rnacentral:rRNA from 1 species